GACGAACGCUGGCGGCGUGCUUAACACAUGCAAGUCGAACGGAAAGGCCCUGCUUUUGUGGGGUGCUCGAGUGGCGAACGGGUGAGUAACACGUGAGUAACCUGCCCUUGACUUUGGGAUAACUUCAGGAAACUGGGGCUAAUACCGGAUAGGAGCUCCUGCUGCAUGGUGGGGGUUGGAAAGUUUCGGCGGUUGGGGAUGGACUCGCGGCUUAUCAGCUUGUUGGUGGGGUAGUGGCUUACCAAGGCUUUGACGGGUAGCCGGCCGGAGAGGGUGACCGGCCACAUUGGGACUGAGAUACGGCCCAGACUCCUACGGGAAGCAGCAGUGGGGAAUAGUGCACAAUGGGCGGAAGCCUGAUGCAGCAACGCCGCGUGCGGGAUGACGGCCUUCGGGUUGUAAACCGCUUUCGCCUGUGACGAAGCGUGAGUGACGGUAAUGGGUAAAGAAGCACCGGCUAACUACGUG
rnacentral:rRNA from 1 species